GACCCUUGGUUCCUGUGUUGCCUUCCCAUCAUAUGGAAAAUUUCAUGAGAUAGCCCCGCCCCGCCACUUUCCUCCAUGUGGCUUUGCGGCUACAAAGCGAACCUCGAAAGCAGUCCCCGUGUCCCCGACAUAUCCUCUGACUUUUGUUGUGGCUAUCUUGGUCCAUAGGAGAACUGCUUGCACUCUCGGAUAUGGAAAAUUAAGCGGACAUGGGGGAUCUUGGCCUUYGGUUGCGCCAAUCAAGUCCCUCGAUAGGAAUGACUUUUGSUACCUCAUUGACUGCAGGCCCUCUAGGCCCNUGGCAUCAAUGCGGGUCCGAAGUCGAGAAAGAAUGCU
rnacentral:misc_RNA from 1 species